AACCCCUGUGACAUACCACUUGUUGCCUCGGCGGAUCAGCCCGCUCCCGGUAAAACGGGACGGCCCGCCAGAGGACCCCUAAACUCUGUUUCUAUAUGUAACUUCUGAGUAAAACCAUAAAUAAAUCAAAACUUUCAACAACGGAUCUCUUGGUUCUGGCAUCGAUGAAGAACGCAGCAAAAUGCGAUAAGUAAUGUGAAUUGCAGAAUUCAGUGAAUCAUCGAAUCUUUGAACGCACAUUGCGCCCGCCAGUAUUCUGGCGGGCAUGCCUGUUCGAGCGUCAUUUCAACCCUCAAGCACAGCUUGGUGUUGGGACUCGCGUUAAUUCGCGUUCCUCAAAUUGAUUGGCGGUCACGUCGAGCUUCCAUAGCGUAGUAGUAAAACCCUCGUUACUGGUAAUCGUCGCGGCCACGCCGUUAAACCCCAACUUCUGAAUGUUGACCUCGGAUCAGGUAGGAAUACCCGCUGAACUUAAGCAUAUCAAUAAGCGGAGGA
rnacentral:rRNA from 1 species